CCGUACCUGGACAUUGGACACUCUGUACACGUAGCUCACAGCCUCUCUUCUGGCCCCUGGAGAGAGCUUGGUGUGGAUGAUGUCCAGGGCCUAACAAAGCAAGAGUUCUCCAACAACUGCGGCGUGUUUGUUUUGAUGUACACUCUGUACAUUGUAAUGGGGGCCAAGUGCGAUUUCAGCGAGGAAAACAUGCUGCAAAUUAGGAGAUGGUGGUGUCUCACUCUCCUGCAGAACUUCCCCAUGCCGUCUGAAGAAGACCGAUUGCAGGACAGGAAACGGCGACGAGUGGAAGGAGGGCUACAGACGCUGGGAAAUUGACAAACUGCAAACCGGGAACAGGGUUGGAAGGAUGGUGA